UCCCGGUUAACCCGGGCAGUCUCGUUAGAGUUCCCACCUUAAAUGUUGGCAACUAACGAUAAGGGUUGCGCUCGUUGCGGGACUUAACCCAACACCUCACGGCACGAGCUGACGACAGCCAUGCAGCACCUGUUCAGAGGCCCCGAAGGGCUUACGUAUUUCUACGUCUUUCCUCUGUAUGUCAAGCCUGGGUAAGGUUUUUCGCGUUGCAUCGAAUUAAACCACAUGCUCCACUGCUUGUGCGGGUCCCCGUCAAUUCUUUUGAGUUUCAGCCUUGCGACUGUACUCCCCAGGCGGUAUACUUAUCGCGUUAGCUUCGGCACAACCAGGGUUGAAUCCAGUUACACCAAGUAUACAUCGUUUACGGCAAGGACUAC
rnacentral:misc_RNA from 1 species